AAACAAAAAAAAUUCAUGUGACUCACUUUAUUGAGGACUUCUAGCACCAGAUUGAAUUGAAGAGGGGAGAGUGGUCAUCCUUGCUUUGUUACACAUCAUUGAUCAUGAUAUUAGCUGUGGACUUUUCAUGAUGGCCUUACUAUAUUGAGAAAGAAUGCUGCAGAAGAAUACAGGAGACAGCCUCAGCAAGAAAGGACUGACUGUGCCAUAUGGAUUUUCCUUAGGCACAUUUAUGGGCAUUCAAGUGGGAGCUUAAGGGAAAUUUGGACCAUACUGGCCAUCACACAGGGAUUUGGGGCCUUUGUGCGUAGACAGUCAACUGAGAAACUGAAACUCUAGAAAAUGCGGCUGGAUAGAAAUAUUUCUGUUGUAUGCUCCAUGACAGCAGAGACUACUUACCCAAAGGUGAGUUUUUCAAUAAGAAAUUAUUGAAAUAAAUGAAUUUUUGGCAUGAAAUGUAAUACCUUCCUAUAAAUCAUUUAAAUAUUUACCUGAAAAUUUUUUUAGUCCUGUUAGUUAACAAUCUGAUCAAUUCAGGUUUCAAAGGAACUUAUCAAGACUUCAAUUAGAGAUUAGACAUAC
rnacentral:lncRNA from 1 species